ensembl:snRNA U5 U5 spliceosomal RNA
AUACUCGAAUUUCUCUUCAAAUAGUAUAAAUCUUUCGCCUUUUACUAAAGAUUUCUGUGGAGAGGAACAAUUCUGAGUCUUAAUCCAAUUUUUUGAGGCCCUGUUUCUGUGGGCCU